ensembl:lncRNA
UCCUAGUGAACCGGAACUGAUCACUUCAUCGAUGGUAACAUGGCAGCACGUUGUAAGUCGCUCUGGAUGAGGGCGUCUGCCAAAUUCCUUAAAUCCUGAAGAUGACCCGGUGACCUGAUGUGCGACCCGGCGUCCCUCCACGCGGGGACGCGCUGUCCCACCGGCGCCAGCGUCUCCGCGUCCUGUCCCCGGGAAUGUCGCGCCGCGUCUCCGACUGCUGGGUGAGCGGCGAGGACGAGGGGCGCCGCGCCGUCAGGCUGCUGCGGUCCGGCGGACGCGCCGACGAUUCCUGCCCGCCGGGACCGGAGAGUCCGAGCCGCGCACUUCCACUGGCGGGUGUGGAGAGAAUGAAAGAGGAGAAGCGUAGCACCGGACUGGACGAAGCUGGAAGGCUUCUGAGAAAUGCCAUUCAUUUGUCACCUCUGGACCUGGUGAUGGACACGCUUGAGGCCACCAUAUCACCAUUCCAGAGUCCUGUCACUAUGUCAGAAGUCAGAAAUUCCAAUGGUUUUUGUCUGGCCAAUACUGAAACCAUAAUAUAUGAUCCGUGUGUGUUGGAGGGGACACAUCCUUCCUCAUCUGGGCUAUAUGGAAACAACAAUACAGAGAAGUCCCACCAUCAGCAUGGCAUGAUAAGUGACGCACAACCGAAGCAUCAGGAUUGGCGAGCGUGUGCCCAGAAUACAGCGGCGUCCAGUUCGAGUCAAGUCGGCAACAACAUCUACCUCCACCUGGAUGCCUAUGAGACGGAUAUUCUAGAGUGAAAUCCAACCCGCCCACUUCCUGCAUUUACAAAGCUUGCUAUUUACUACUAAUCAAUAUAGCAAGACUACAUGUUUCACACUUCUACUACUGUUAAUAAUAAUACUGAAAUAGAUUUCAGAAUAAUAUUUUAUUAUAAUAUCUCACUCUACAGCACUUUCCCACCAAACUGCUCUGUUUUGCUGUAUUGAAAACCAGCUUGUGUCUAGGAGCUGUAGAUGUCAGUUCAGCUGUGCAGUUUUCCGGGACCAUUUCUUCGGUCGGCACCAAAAUGACAUUCCCGUGUGGCACCACUUUUACAUUUCUGCAAAGUUUUCCGGUGGGGGCUGCAUUGUUAGUGUCCAGGUCACUGAAUUCACUAAUCAGCAUGUAUUGGAACAAUUGCCCUGCUCCACAUUUUUACAGGGCACAUCAUUGAUUUGGCCCACUAGAGCCACUCAAAAGGUUUUCACUGUGUUUCCACUGUGUUUUGGAACAAAAGGCCUUUUUUUCUAUCACUGCUUGACCUAAUGGGGCCUGACAUUUGUUCUUCAUGAGAGAACGAUGGCCAAUCCAUAAAUCUUUUUCUCAUCCUCCACCUGUUUAAUGAUGGAACUUUGCCUAAACUUGUUUCUUGGCACCGUGGGAUGUUCGAUCAGAGUGUCCUGUGUUCUUCUUAUUAAAGGAACAGGAUGUCUGCCUAUUUUACACAAAUUUUAUGAGUUAAUGGCACCAUGGUAGUAACAUGACCAGCGUCAAUGAGAUCCAAAGCAGUAAAGUGGACUGAGCAAAGGCCAAUCAAUGCAGUCCUGUUUUUGCAUCGAUCUGAACAUAUAAAGCUGGCGCUGAUGCCAGAGAGGAGCAGACUGUCCGGGGUCACAGUGAAGCACUUUUUGCUCUCUGCAAGACUUCCUUGACUUCUGCUUGCCGCCC